rnacentral:rRNA from 1 species
GAUGAACGCUGGCGGCGUGCCUAAUACAUGCAAGUCGAGCGAACGGACGAGAAGCUUGCUUUUCUGAUGUUAGCGGCGGACGGGUGAGUAACACGUGGAUAACCUACCUAUAAGACUGGGAUAACUUCGGGAAACCGGGGCUAAUACCGUAUAAUAUUUUGAACCGCAUGGUUCAAAAGUGAAAGACGGUCUUGCUGUCACUUAUAGAUGGAUCCGCGCUGCAUUAGCUAGUUGGUAAGGUAACGGCUUACCAAGGCAACGAUGCAUAGCCGACCUGAGAGGGUGAUCGGCCACACUGGAACUGAGACACGGUCCAGACUCCUACGGGAGGCAGCAGUAGGGAAUCUUCCGCAAUGGGCGAAAGCCUGACGGAGCAACGCCGCGUGAGUGAUGAAGGUCUUCGGAUCGUAAAACUCUGUUAUUAGGGAAGAACAUAUGUGUAAGUAACUGUGCACAUCUUGACGGUACCUAAUCAGAAAGCCACGGCUAACUACGUG